AUUGAACGCUGGCGGCAGGCCUAACACAUGCAAGUCGAGCGGAUGAAGGGAGCUUGCUCCUGGAUUCAGCGGCGGACGGGUGAGUAAUGCCUAGGAAUCUGCCUGGUAGUGGGGGAUAACGUCCGGAAACGGGCGCUAAUACCGCAUACGACCUGAGGGUGAAACUGGGGGAUCUUUGGACCUCACGCGAUCAGAUGAGCCUAGUUCGGAUUAGCUAGCUGGUGGGGUAAAGGCCUACCAAGGCGACGAUCCGUAACUGGUCUGAGUGGAGGAUCAGCCACACUGAAACGGAAACAGGGCCCAGCUUCCAAGGGAAGGCAGCGGUGGGAAAUAUCGGCAAAUGGGGGAAAGCUUGAUCCAGCCAGGCCGCGUGGGUGAAGAAGGUCUUCGGACUGUAAAGCACUUUAAGUGGGGAGAAAGGGCAGUAAGUUAACACCUGACUGUUUGGACGUAACUAACAGAAAAAGCACGGCCUAACUUCUU
rnacentral:rRNA from 1 species